rnacentral:rRNA from 1 species
UGGGGAAUAUUGGACAAUGGGCGCAAGCCUGAUCCAGCCAUGCCGCGUGAGUGAUGAAGGCCUUAUGGUUGUAAAGCUCUUUCAGUGGGGACGAUAAUGACGGUACCCACAGAAGAAGCCCCGCCUAACUUCGUGCCAGCAGCCGCGGUAAUACGAAGUGGGCUAGCGUUGUUCGGAUUUACUGGGCGUAAAGCGCACGUAGGCGGCUCGUUAAGUCGGGUGUGAAAUCCUGGAGCUCAACUCCAGAACUGCCUUCGAUACUGGCGAACUUGAGUCCGGAAGGGGGGAGUGGAACUACUAGUGUAGAGGUGGAAUUCGCAGAGAUUAGGAAGAACACCAGCGGAGAAGGCGGCUCACUGGUCCGGUACUGACGGUGAGGUGCGAAAGCGUGGGGAGCAAACA